rnacentral:rRNA from 1 species
GUGGGGAAUUUUGGACAAUGGGCGCAAGCCUGAUCCAGCAAUGCCGCGUGCAGGAAGAAGGCCUUCGGGUUGUAAACUGCUUUUGUACGGAACGAAACGGUCCGGGUUAAUACCCUGGGCUAAUGACGGUACCGUAAGAAUAAGCACCGGCUAACUACGUGCCAGCAGCCGCGGUAAUACGUCGGGUGCAAGCGUUAAUCGUAAUUACUGGGCGUAACGCGUGCGCAGGCGGUUUUGUAAGACAGGCGUGAAAUCCCCGGGCUCAACCGUGGAAGUGCGCGUGGGACUGCAAGGCUGGAGUGCGGAAGAGGGGGAUGGAAUUCCGCGUGUAGCAGUGAAAUGCGUAGAUAUGCGGAGGAACACCGAUGGCGAAGGCAAUCCCCUGGGCCUGCACUGACGCUAAUGCACGAAAGCGUGGGGAGCAAACAGGAUUAGAAACCCUAGUAGUCC